rnacentral:rRNA from 1 species
AUCGAACGCUGGCGGCCGGCUUAACACAUGCAAGUCGAACGAGUGGCGGACUGGUGAGUAAUGCUUGGGAAUCUAGCUCAUGGAGGGGGAUAACUACGGGAAACUGUAGCUAAUACCGCGUACAAUAGGAUGAGCCCACGUGGGAUUAGGUAGUUGGUGAGGUAAAGGCUCACCAAGCCGGAGAUCUCUAGCGGGUCUGAGAGGAUGACCGGCAAAACUGGGACUGAGACACGGCCCAGAAUCCUACGGGAGGCAGCAGUGGGGAAUAUUAGGCAAUGGGGGCAACCUGACGCAGCAAGGCCGCGUGAAUGAAGAAGGCCUUCGGUUUGUAAAGUUCUUUCGGUAGCGAGGCGUUAACUACAGAAGAAGCACCGGCUAACUCCGUGCCAGCAGCCGCGGUAAUUC